UAAAUUUACAAAGAAAAUCAAACACAAAGUCCAGAAAAUGGGCAAAUUACUAGAAACUCGUAAGCAAACUGCUAAAUAUUCUAAAAUUUAUGAAAGUAAUUCUGAUAUAGGUACAACCUGUAAUGAUUUAUAUAUUGAUGAAAAAGAUGGAACAAUUAUUAGUUUAGGAUCAUUUCUAAAUAGAUUUAAUUCCCAUGUUAUAAGCUUUCAAAUGUGGAUACAGGUUAUAAAUCUGUUUGAACUUGAACCUGGUCCAAUUUGUGUUAAAAAUGGAAAAAUUAUACCUCAUGACACUAAAAAAUUCAAAUGCUGUGACUCAUGUGUUAUUGUAAUUUGGUCUAAAACAGAACAAAUUGUAAAACGCAUAUGUCAUGGUGGUUAUGUUGGCAAUGGUAACAUAUUAACAUCAAGUUCUAUUUUUGAAAAUCUUGGUGAUGAUUAUAAGACAUUAGUAAUUUUUCCAAAUUAUUUUUAUUUUUAUAUCUAUUCGACUAUAUGGAUAAGAACUUAUCCAAACAAGCGUUUGGCUAAAAUUAUACUGCAGGGUUCCAUUGAUUCUCUACAAUUCCUAAAUAUAAAAACAAUUACAAAUCAAUUUGACAUAAAUGAUAGAAUUUAUUUUUUCAGUCGGCCCUCUGGCGAAUUACAAUUAAUUAGAGGCAAAAUUUUGCCACGCCCUUCAGACAGAUAUGACCUUUUAGAUAAUGAAUUUCUGAUUUCUGAAUCAGGGUUUGACGGAGACAUUGGAACCGAUAUUAUCUUAAUAAAACGUAAUUAUCCGAUUAUUGGGAAGUACAAUGGACAGUACACAUAUCAAUCCAAAACUUAUGGGCGGAUUGUGACUUUUCCUGAUUUUAUUUUAAAAGAAAACAAUGUUAUAUAUAACUAAUUUAUAAAAAUAAAUAAUGAUAUAUUAUUUUUCAACACAAAAAUUAUAGUUUAUUUUUAAAAAUAUUAACAAUAUUUUAAUACUAUUAAUAAGCCACACACCUUCAAAAUUAGGCUGAUUUGAGGCAAUUCAAUUUCGCAGUUCUGCUUGCAAGUUUGCAUGAAAUUUCCCAUUUUCAGUGGCAUUCCGAAGAGAGACCUUCUGCUGACCAUCUUGACACACUGAACAUCUGGAGGACUAGGACUUCUCCCAGUAAGCCUAUCUUUAUGUGGGCCGUGUGUUGAUCUGGACAAGGGCACACUGAACAUCUGGAGGACUAGGACUUCUCCCAGUAAGCCUAUCUUUAUGUGGGCCGUGUGUUGAUCUGGACAGGGGCACACUGAACAUCUGAGGACUAGGACUUUUCGCAGCCAGCUUGUGUGGACCAACCCCGGAACGAGGGGGACCUGCCUAUGGCACACUUCCUCAACGGAGCGGGUGAUGGCCUUUUUCUACAGGAGAAAAAGUGCAAGGCCACUUUUUAGUCCUAGUCCACCCCUGGAUCUGAAGGUUUCAUUUGGAAUGCAUCUUGGACAGAUUUUUUUUUUUCAUAAUUUUAACACAUCUUUAAAAGACAACAAGUGUAAAAAACAACAUCUGAACCUCCUCUACAGUACUUGGGGGAUGAUACUCGUCAUCUGGCUCUUUAGAUAACUUGUUGUCUUUUUAAUAUAUUACUUAUAUUGUCAGGCAUGACUUUUUUAUAAUUUGGAACUGAAUAGAAGUUUGAA